UCCUACUAAGGGAUGUUAGACUGCCUGGACUGCCCAGCUACACCCAUCCCACUGACCAAGUGUCCAUUAACUGCUGGAGCACACUGGACAGGCUCCUGGAGAGAGCCUCUUCCACCUGGGUUUCAUCUGAGCUAAAUCCAGAGCACUCUUUGGUGUGAGACAAAGAGCACAGAGAGCUGAUGAUCCCAACCCAAAUGAAAUACUCAUGGACAGAUUCAAAGUGAAGACUAGUGAAAUACAGCAGCCCAUUCUGGUUUCCAGGUUCUGCUGCAGUUCAGAUCAGGCUCAAUGAUAGCUUCCACAGGCUGGACACAGAGACAGGACUUAAAGGAAUGGAAAAGCAGAGAAAACUGUAUUGAUAGAGGAGAGCGUUCAUCACACUGCUAUCAAGGAUAAAAUAUUUAACACAGAAGCCAACUCGAAACCUAGCCUUUGGGGAUACAGCAAUACAGCAAGAAUCAAUAGAAGCUGAACAGACAUAGCCUGCUUAUCAGAGAAAAGAAGCUCACAUAUUAUGAGGCUCUGAUCUUUCAUAUAGUAUAUAUGUCAGUCCCACUGGACAGUAAGAAUUAUUCACAGAAUAAAAGCUCUGAAAUGGAACUUAAA